rnacentral:rRNA from 1 species
CCUACGGGUGGCAGCAGUGGGGAAUAUUGCACAAUGGGGGAAACCCUGAUGCAGCGACGCCGCGUGAGUGAAGAAGUAUUUCGGUAUGUAAAGCUCUAUCAGCAGGGAAGAAAAUGACGGUACCUGACUAAGAAGCCCCGGCUAACUACGUGCCAGCAGCCGCGGUAAUACGUAGGGGACAAGCGUUAUCCGGAUUUACUGGGUGUAAAGGGAGCGUAGACGGCAGCGUAAGUCUGAAGUGAAAUCCAUUGGCUGAACCAUGGAACUGCUGUUGAAACUGUGCAGCUGGAGUGCAGGAGAGGUAAGCGGAAUUCGUGGUGUAGCGGUGAAAUGCGUAGAUAUUAGGAGGAACACCAGUGGCGAAGGCGGCUUACUGGACUGUAACUGACGUUGAGGCUCGAAAGCGUGGGGAGCAAACAGGAUUAGAUACCCGUGUAGUC